rnacentral:rRNA from 1 species
UACGUAGGUGGCAAGCGUUGUCCGGAUUUACUGGGCGUAAAGGGCUCGUAGGCGGCCAACUAAGUCAUACGUGAAAUCCCUCGGCUUAACCGGGGAACUGCGUCUGAUACUGGAUGGCUUGAGUUCGGGAGAGGGAGGCGGAAUUCCAGGUGUAGCGGUGAAAUGCGUAGAUAUCUGGAGGAACACCGGUGGCGAAGGCGGCAUCCUGGACCGAUACUGACGCUGAGGAGCGAAAGCCAGGGGAGCAAACGGG